rnacentral:rRNA from 1 species
CCUACGGGUGGCAGCAGUGGGGGAUAUUGGACAAUGGGGGAAACCCUGACCCAGCGACGCCGCGUGAGUGAAGAAGUCUUUCGGUAUGUAAAGUUCUAUUAGCAGGGAAGAAUGAAAUGCCGGUCCCUGAGUAAGAAGCCCCGGCUACCUACGUGCCAGCAGCCGCGGUAAUAAGUAGGGGGCAAGCGUUAUCGGGAAUGACGGGGUGCAAAGGGAGCGUAGACGGUGAUGCAAGUCAGUAGUGAAAGGCGGGGGCUCAACCCCAGAACUGCUCUGGAAACUGUGGAACUGGAGUGCAGGAGAGGCAGGCGGAAUUCCUAGUGUAGCGGUGAAAUGCGUAGAUAUUAGGAGGAACACCAGUGGCGAAGGCGGCCUGCUGGACUGUAACUGACGUUGAGGCGCGAAAGCGUGGGGAGCAAACAGGAUUAGAUACCCGAGUAGUC